rnacentral:misc_RNA from 1 species
UCAUCUAUCAUUGCAGCUUUGUACCUUAAGAGAAGUGAAAUACCAAGAAAGCCAAAAACAAAUAAAUGAAAAAACACCACAACAGAUGUACCAUUUGUGGGGCAACAACAAACCAGGCACUAUACAUUACAAAGAUAGCUGCCCUCCCAGUUUGAAGCAUAUACAACAUUAAGAAAAUAGUAAUGUAACUGAAUAUGACACAUAAAAGCAUACAUUCCAAGAUUAUACAUUUGCACAAAGGCAACUUUUCUCCCUCUUUUCUGGCCAUUAACUAACACCUGAAUUCGCAUAUUGUAAUUUUACAACCAGAAAAAUCCAAAGCUUACCCAAGUCCACCAAUGACAUAUAUUGGAUUUGUACUUAGGGGUUCAGUUAGUCCAAAAUUUAUCUAGUAUUGGCAUCUUUGAACUUCAGUCAAAUAGCCUAGGAGAACUCCUUGAGAACAAGAAGCAAAUGGUAGAUAGGAUUCUAUAUAAAAUGAAACCCAUCAGGCUCUACUUUGCAAGUUUCAGACUUAAGUAUUUAUAUUUGAAAGUAUUUCAAGACAUACCCACUUAUUCUCUUACCGAUGAGUGUAUUACACAUUAAAAGGCGAACGCACUCACACACACACACACACA